rnacentral:ncRNA from 2 species
AAGAAGUAACGCUUCCUGCUAGUUCCAGCGCAGUCCAGCAUGAUUAGAAGGGUACUGGACUGGGCUACAACUAGAAGGAAGUGUUGCUGCUU